CUCGUAGGCGGUCUUGUAAGUCAGGUGUGAAAUCGUUCUGCUUAACAGAACAACUGCACUUGAAACUACUUGACUUGAGUACAGAAGGGGAAAACAGAAUUUUCGGUGUAGCGGUGAAAUGCGUAGAUAUCGAAAAGAAUACCUGUGGCGAAGGCGGUUUUCUGGUCUGUAACUGACGCUGAGGAGCGAAAGCUAGGGUAGCAAACAGGAUUAGAUACCCUGGUAGUCC
rnacentral:rRNA from 1 species